CUUUCAGCAGCAUGAUCCCAAAGUUGUCAAGCAAAUUAGCCAAAUGCUGGUGAAUCACCUUGGACUAAAUUUGACCAAAGAUGAUCUGCAAAACGUGGUUGAUUUAAUGGAGCCAUAUGGUCAGAUAAGCAAUGGAAUAGAAUAUCUAUAUCCUCCCCUUGAUGUCAGUAACUAACUUGCUUGUGAUUUUAAAUAUGCAAGUCAAUUGCUAUUAAUAAUUUUCUGUUGGAUUCUUUUUGGACUGAAAAAUAAUUUCUGGGGAAAGUCUAAGAAUCUUAAUUUUUUUAGAAAGCCAAUAAAGUGCUUGCUGGACGAAAUGUGGGGAUUAAUUGAACUGCUAGGUCAUACAUGCUGUUAAUUUUUUAAGAGCUGAUAAAUGAGUAUGACAUAGUGCUCAUAAAUGUUCUAAGGAUGUCUUUAGAUAAAUUCAUGUUUUAGGCACUAAUCAAUUUUAACCAAAUUAUCUAACUGUAAUUUGUACUGCUUGUAGACUUUCAGCAGCAUGAUCCCAAAGUUGUCAAGCAAAUUAGCCAAAUGCUGGUGAAUCACCUUGGACUAAAUUUGACCAAAGAUGAUCUGCAAAACAUGGUUGAUUUAAUGGAGCCAUAUGGUCAGAUAAGCAAUGGAAUAGAAUAUCUAAAUCCUCCCCUUGAUGUCGGUAACUAACUUGCUUGUCAUUUUAAAUAUGCAAGUCAAUU
rnacentral:lncRNA from 1 species